rnacentral:lncRNA from 1 species
GUAAGCGGAGGCCCUAAAUCAGGAGGGCACGUGACUGUUUUAGAGACCGUGCAGAGCAGCGAGUGGUCACACGGAGGAGGGGCCGCCGAGGCCGCUUAGUGAAACAAGAUGGCCUCCCUUAUGCUCAUGUGCACCUGAACGAGUGACUUGACCUUUCUGUUUCCUCAUCUGUCAAACAGAAGCAAUCGUAUUUGCUUCUCUACUUCAUGGAGUUAUCGCGAGCUGCGUGACUUUAUCGUCUUUUAAGAUUCAUCAGCAUUCAGCGGAGAACCAGACAGAGAAAAAACGUGGUAUGAUCUGCGACAUCAAGGCAAAGGGCCCAAAAGUUGUUCUGGCCCAGGGAAGGGGUCCCAGAGUCAGACUGGCCAGCUUUUACCACGGCUAAUGGUCCAGCAUGCCGGCCAGAGCCCCCGCCUCCUUGGGGCACCUUGAGAAGACUAGGCAACAGUGAGAACUUUAUCCUGGACCCAUCUUGGUCUCCACAAGGACCCUGGGGACUCGCUGGCCGCAGUGCUCUAUCUGCUGGCCUGAGGAGUUCAACCAGAGACGGACCCAUUCUAGCCUGGGUGACAAAUGGAAACUGUUAAGAUUGUGAUCAAGAGAGUUUACGAGGUGGCAUUUAUCUUGGUGACCUCACGGGCAUGAUCCAUAUCUCGGCCCCAGCCUCCCAGGGCCAGAACAUCUGUUUCCGGGGUCCCAGAGCUGACUGGACUCGAGGAAGUCAGCUCCAGUUUAUGAAAGUCACAAAAACAUGUCCGUUUGUCAUGAGCAAUCCAACAGGCGAGCUGGACGGAGUGUCGGGCCGGCCCACCCAGCACACCGCAGUCCAUGGGAAAUCUCGCUGGGCAGCCACGUGACAGCAGCAGGAUGCCACUCAGCCUUGAGCACCACACAGUGAGGGGCUGGGCAGCCAAGUGUGGGGUGGCAUCAGGCUCCGACCAGGAUGAGAGCUGGUGACACCAGAGGCUGGCAGAGCACACCUGUGGGCCAGGAUGUCCUUUGCCAGGGAGGGCUGGAAGCCAAGGUGGACCUCUCUGUUCCUGUGUGCCACGGGGACGGUCAAGGUCGGGAAUGCCUCCGCUCCCUGGACUUUGAUUCUUCCUGAUCCCUGUGAAAUGACAACAGUUGCCCACCACCAGUAGAUUGAGAUGAGUCAAAGAAAGUCCGUCUUUAUUUUCUAUUUCUUGUGUCGCCAGAUGCAGUCCAGACAUCAGCACUGUUUGCAGUCCUCUGCUCGAAGGUGGGGCUCUGCAGUCUCCCGGGCACUCCUGGAGCCUGGCUUUAUACCGCGUCUCCUUCUGAUGGUGGGACGCCAGUGGGAUCUGCCCCAGGCCCAAGAGGACCCCUGCAACAGCCAAGUGGAGAAGCCACCAGGGCCUGCGUGACAACCAAUCACAAGACCCUUUUACCUCACUUGGGAUAAUGAUGCAAUCGCUCGUCUCUAAUUUUUAAGAGAAGCAGACACAGCAAGCAAGAGGAAUUCCAACCACAGAGGGCUUUUUUAAACAUAAUUUUGAGAAGGCAACUUUGAACAAAGAACUUGCAGACGUGGUGUAACUCCUUCUUAUUAGAGAUGAGCAAGCUUUCCUUGGAAGGACGUGAAGCCCUUGGCAUAGACUGCUUAAGAAAAAUAGUUAACUGCUUAAGUUAAAAUAGUUAAGACAACAGUUAACAAGAAAGAGAGAAAGAGAGAGAGA